rnacentral:misc_RNA from 1 species
CACCAACGCAAUCCAGCGCCUCACAGAGCGUUUCGCUCGCCUCACUCUCGGAGCCUCUUCCCUUUCCUUUCAGGUCGGCACAGGCCCCACGCCCCCUUCAAGAUGUCCACGACGUCCGUCUUCGAGACGAAGCUGAGGAUGCACACAGCACUGCCCAGUGACAAGUUGUUCGCGAGGCAUCGGUAGUAAGGUGACUUGACCAAGCGGCUCUGUCGAGGCCGAAGAAAAGCAAGUUGGUCCUCCUAGAACGUCCAGGCGCCUCUUGCGGGACGGGGAUCCAAUGUGGACGAGGGCUGCGCGCGACUGAUGGAAGAGCAUGCGGCACCGCGCGUGGUGGCAUGCCGUGCUUUCCUGCGCGCACGGAAUCCGCACGUACAGAAGCUGAGGGGUAAGAGCCUUGACGCGGAGCCGGCUAACGAGGUCAUGGUCGUAUGUGAGGAGAGUCUGAAGCGCGUCUUGAAAAGACCAGGCGCAGCGAGCGACUCUCUUGCUUGAAGAGGCGCCUCUCGCGUCGAUCAUCUACGGGAGAGAGGAUUUGCGCGUGGACGGCAUCAUGCUGCUCCAGACUCUUCUAGCCAGCAACCUCACCCCAGAGUCUUGUGUCCCACAACUGAGACACGCCCCUGGGGAUGAGCCCUGCCGAUCACACAAGGCCUUUCGGGCCUCACAUCAACAGCCUUCCGGUCACCCUCUACACCACACAAGCGCAUUAUGGACAUGUCGGCCUACAACGGCCAGAUGCCUCAUGAAUUGCAGAGCCCGGGGGUAUGGUUCCGCGGUGGUGGUGACUCGAAGAAGCUCGAUGCGUCUCGGCCGCGCAAUGGGCCGAUGCAGCGAGGACUCUUUCGUCUCGGGCACAUGAAUGCAGGGUUUUGGCUCGAUCGCGCAGCCACAUCAUCCUGCAACAUACGCGCGCGCCUGUCCUGCUCCAGCAGCCGGGUUUGGUGGAGCGGUCGCAAGACAGCGGGCGGGGGCUGGCUGAUCAAGACUUGCCCGCGUCAUCCGCGCCGCCUGCGCCCCCUCGAUGCAGCGAAAAAGCCGCGCGGAGUGGCGGCCGGGGCUCGCCAGCGGUGACCUCGGGUAAGGUCAGACCCCGAACGUCGAGCUCGACUCGACCUUGCGGGGCACGCAUGCCUCAGAACCACGUUGGUGCCUCGCGGCGCGCCGCCGAUGCUGCCGUCGUAUGCCUCCGCGGCCCAAAUAGCAGCGAGAGUGUCACUGCAUCACUAUACUUUUUUUCCAGCUGCGUGCCGACUCUCCAUGAGGACGGGGCGACACCUCAGUGCGUGGUGUCGCAGGGUCCAGCGCCCCCACGCAUUGCGUGCGGAAAAAGCCAAGCAGCCCCUCGCCCCUAUCCCCUGCCACUGCGGAGCCGCCUCUGGUGGUGGCCGAGCCAAGCGCCUACGGCGUAGCGGAGCCACAGCAAUGCAUCCCCGCUGAUGCCGGGCGGCCAUGUCCUGGUGAGCGUGGCGUCGCCGCGCCCUGCGGCCAGCGAACGCGUCCGUGCCGUUCAUGUGAUGGGCGGAGUGUGGAGGUGGCUCGAAAGGCAUCGCGCCCCCGCCCUCACACUGCCCACUGGUGUGGGGGUGCCCGAGCCCGGCCCCGUGGCGGGUGCACCGGGUGGCGACCGGCGCAACGGCCGCUGCUGUGUGAGUGUGUGUGUGUGUGUGAGCACUGUUCGACGCAGCGGCGGUGCCCGGGUGACUGGGUCGGCGCACGGCUGCAGGGCUUGCCCUACCGCUGCAUCUCCCCAUGCGCUGUGCCUGUGACCGGCCGAGGGCGGGGGGUUGAGUGUAGGCUGAACACCUUGCUGUAUGGCAGGCAGCAGGCUAGUUAAAGGAGACGAGAAAAAAAACGAUUUUUUUGGAGCUUCUCUCCGUUGACGAUCAGUCCAUGGCCCGUUUUCUCUGUGUAGUCGCCUCCUUGGUGCUCUUGGGACUCUUCCUUGGUGCUCGUAUACCUCUUGUCUAACGAAAUUGCUCACUGCUUUGCUGCAAUUUUUUUGUUGUUGCGCUGGCUUCGAGUGCAUGGGAAGUUUUUUUUUGUGGCGCAUCCGCCAUUUGUUGAAUGAUGUGCACACACACACACACACACAUUUCUCUUAUUGCAGAUGGCCACAGAGGCACAGCGCAUGCCCAUGUGCUGGUCGAUCCGACGACGGAAAUCAGACAUGCGUCUUUUUUGUGAUUCUUUUUUGCUCUCCUUUCCCCUGCAACCUUCUUCUCAGCCUUGCUGUGUAGGUGUGUAGGAAUACCAGCGCCCACGCUGCUAGUAGCGCAGCAGCACAAG